GACGAACGCUGGCGGCGUGCCUAAUACAUGCAAGUAGAAUGCUGAAGAGAGGAGCUUACUCUUCUUGGAUGAGUUGCGAACGGGUGAGUAACGCGUAGGUAACCUGCCUUGUAGCGGGGGAUAACUAUUGGAAACGAUAGCUAAUACCGCAUAACAAUGGAUGACACAUGUCAUUUAUUUGAAAGGGGCAAUUGCUCCACUACAAGAUGGACCUGCGUUGUAUUAGCUAGUAGGUGAGGUAAUGGCUCACCUAGGCGACGAUACAUAGCCGACCUGAGAGGGUGAUCGGCCACACUGGGACUGAGACACGGCCCAGACUCCUACGGGAGGCAGCAGUAGGGAAUCUUCGGCAAUGGGGGCAACCCUGACCGAGCAACGCCGCGGGAGUGAAGAAGGUUUUCGGAUCGUAAAGCUCUGUUGUAAGUCAAGAACGGGUGUGAGAGUGGAAAGUUCACACUGUGACGGUAGCGUACCAGAAAGGGACGGCUAACUACGU
rnacentral:rRNA from 1 species